AUGGACGAGAAUCUGGAGCAUGCACUCAUACAUUGUUCGCACGCAAAACAGUUCUGGAAAGAAGCGUAUGCUUGGUUUGGCCUCAGACUGCCUCGUCUUCAUCCAGACUCUUGGGCGCGAGAUAUCACAUGUGAUCCUCGGUUCACUACUGAUGAUCGCGCAAAGAUCACAACAAUCAUGUGGUCUAUAUGGCAUUCCCGGAACAGAACCAAGCACGGCGAAGAGGGAAAGAAUCCAACGGCAACACGCAGGGCCACCAAGGAGGCGAUUGCCCUCCUUCAUCUUCCAUGCCGAGAUGCUUUGAUUUUGCCUGGCUUCGGUUGGAGACCGCCUGAUGAGGGACUUGUUAAGAUCACUACGGAUGGUGCCUUAAACCUAGCGGAUGGCAGGGGCGGUGCAGGAGGGGUGGCCAGAUCCUCUUCGGCGCUCCUGGGAGCAUGGUGCAGACCAUAUUUGGGUAUUUCUGAUCCGUUGAUUAUGGAGGAUUUCUUUAAUUCUCUUCCAACAUAUUUUGUUCUCUUGCGUUUGUUCUUACCUGCAUGUGCGUCCUUGGGCCUGCCGCUGCUGCUGAACCAUGCCGUCGUGGGUGAUCUGCAUGCUGAUUCUUCCUUCCAACUUGUUCUUCCCUUCCGCCAUGUGCAUCUUCUUGUAGUCGGUUGCCGUUCUGCUCACGCUUUCCAGUCUUUGCAGCCGACUGCUGCCGCUUCUGUACAUCCUUCUGGUUGUUUCUACACCACAUACGAAUUUAUUGAUCCAGCGAUAGUUACUCCUGCUUGUGUCUGGUUUGGUCGGGGUCGCGGGGUCGUCCUCCUGCCGGCUGUUCGCGCGGCCGUUAUUGCCUGUGUGCGCCGUGCCGCCAGCCGUUUACUUCCAGUGGACUGUUCGGCGGUAAUGGGAGACGCUUCUGUCCGUCAUGGAUUACCUGCAGCUCAUCUAGGGCGGCGUUCUCGCCGUGCGGUUCACCGGCCGCUGCGUUCUGGACGGAUUGAUGAUCAGGGGUUGAACACGGAUGGGUUUCCCACAAGAGGUUUUAAUCGCCUCCGUCAAGAGAUUUCAUUAGGGAAGCAGCAUGUUGACCCUACUUUUGGUCCCACUACUAAUGUUGGUUGUUCUUCCGUUGUUGAUGGUCAUCUAUGUGUUGUUCCGCCCGCCAGUGUGGGAACUGUUCCCCCGGUUGUCCAGAUGGUCGACAGGUCAUUUGUUCAACCUUCUGUUCUUCCUGCUGACGUUCAUCUUGAUUGUCGUUCGGUGGGUGCUCCUUCCAUGGUUAACCGUCCAAGGGUGGUGCCCUUGCGUGCGGCCGGUGCUUUCGGACGGCGUACCCCUCUCGUUCUGUACCUAGAUCAGAUUGUAUUUAGGCAGCACACUGUACAAGCUCCAUUGUAUUUUCAUUUCUGCUUCGGUGCACCCUCCUUAAAUACAUCAAAGGCUGAGAUUCACCCUUACCCCUUCGCUGCCAGGGCACGAUCGUCAUCAGUAAAAAAAUUGCCCCCGCGCGUCGGCGGCGAUACCCCCGCGCGCCCGUGUAUACGCGGCUGCGGGACGAGCCGAGCCGCUUGGCAAUCGCGCCGACUGCUCGCGGCAGAUCUCGUGCCGCCCGCGCCCUCCACUGCCGCGCGUGCGGGCGACCGGGCGCCCGCCGCCAGCAUGCAUGGUAGCCUCGUAGUCCGCGCCGUCCACUACCACGCGUGCGGCGACCGGGCGCUGCCGCCAGCCUUCCGCCUCGGGCCGGCAGUUGACGCGACCGGUCGGCUGCCGACACUGCGGCGACCGCCCGCACUGCACCGACGCUUCCACUACCACGCCUGCCGUCCUCGCGCCUUCCCACGCCACCGAUCCCUCGCCCGCCGCGUCGCGCCUUCACACGCCGCCGCUGCCUCGCUUUCACACGCCACCGCGGUCGCGCGUGCCGUCAGGCGCCCGCCUCUCCCUCGGGGCGCACGCCACCGACGGCUCGCCCGCCCACCUCCCUCCCCCGCCAUCUAUAAAAGGCCGCGCCAGCCCUCACCACGCCGUGCCAUCUUCCUCGCCCCGCCCAUCUCCCUUCCUCUCCUCGCCCGCCCAUCUCCCUCUCCUCGCCGGCAAUGUCUUCCAGCGACUCCGACGAGGGAUCUGGCCCGGUUCGGCGUGAUGGUGCCGCCGGCAGCCAAAGUGCCGCGGCCGUGGCGGAUCGGGGCGGACGGCAUCCCCACCAUGGGACCGCCGCCAACGAGGCAGCCGCUCCACGCGUUCCCUGGCGGCUGCUACAACCGGAGGGCCCAGCGCAGGUGGUGGCGCGGGAAGAACUUUGACAUCGUCCUCGGCGCGUUCAGGAAUGCGGCGGCCGGCCGCACCGUCGGGGACAUUACCGGCGAGGCCGGCACUUCCCGUGGUCGCCGCCCCCACGGCCCACCUCCAGCCGCCCCCACUGCCCCAGCACAGCAGGCGCCCCCUGACCCGGCGCUGGUCGAGAUCCCGCCAGCGCAGGCCGCCCUUGCGCAAGACGGAGACCCCGACGACACGCCAGGGGUACUUGCGGUGCUGGCCCAGUCGGCAGAGGAGGCGGCGGCGGCGGCCACUCGUGAGGAACGAGAGCGGCUGGCGGCCAUAGCGGCGGUGCAGGAGCAGCAGGCGCGGGAAGACAACUGGUGGGAUUUCAGCGACGACGACGACGACCAUGGCGGGGACGGCCGCGAAGGAGAGGCCGGCAGUAUGGUGCCGGUCGUCGACCUCACCGCCGCCAGCGACGACGAGUAG
rnacentral:rRNA from 1 species